rnacentral:rRNA from 1 species
UACGUAGGGGGCAAGCGUUGUCCGGAAUCAUUGGGCGUAAAGCGCGCGUAGGUGGCCCAGUAAGUCCGCUCUGAAAGUCAAAGGCUCAACCUUUGAAUGCCGCUGGAAACUGUCUGGCUAGAGUCCGGAAGGGGCGAGUGGAAUUCCUGGUGUAGCGGUGAAAUGCGCAGAUAUCAGGAGGAACACCGGUGGCGAAGGCGGCUGGCUGGACCUGACCUGACGCUGAGGCGCGAAGGCGUGGGGAGCGAACGGG